UAGGCACUUUUGAGGUCAAGUUUAGUAAAAAUUGUAGAACCUUGUAUUUUAGCAAGUAAUUGUUCAAUAAGUGGUAACGGAUAUAUAUUGGGUUUGACAUACUUAUUUAAAGGUUUGUAGUCAACCACCAUUCUCAAGGUGCCUUCCUUUUUCGGAACGAACAUUACUGGACAGGCGUUAAUGGCUUUAGAUUCUCGUAUAAUUCCACUUUUUAAUCCUUGAUUAAUUUCAUCAUUCAUAGCUUGCAUUUUUCCCGGUGGUAGCGGGUAAUUUCUGAUAGGUAAUCUGUAGUUUUCUUGAGUUAGUUCAACUUCAAAUUCUAACCCUUUUAUUGGCUUUGGUAGCUUUUCCGUAUUGGUUUCUGCAGUAAUGUCUUUGAAUUCUUUAUAGAUAUCUGGUAACUCAGGUUCCUUGACAAUAUUUGAAACUUUGUUCAUUUGAGAGAGCGUGUGUUUACUGCUAGAUAUUUCAAUGUUAUUGUCAUAUAAUGUUGUGAAGGAGAUAGCAGCUGGAUGCGAAAAUUUCUUUACAACCAAGAAUUCUGUUUUGAUUGAUAUUCCAUUUAGACUUAUGUUAAGUUUUAUUGUUUUGCGAUUAAUCUUAUUUGGAUAAACUCCACCAUAUAUCACACUUUUUGACCAGGGUCUGGUAGGCAGUUUAUGUGCUCGAACAGUUUCUUCUGUUAUAAUAUUUGCUUGAGCGCCCGUAUCGAUUAGACAGGGUAUUGAGCACUUGAAGUCUGGAAGUUCAGCUUGUAAUACCAUUUCGUAACGUUUCCUAGUAUGAUUUAGGAAUUUGUUAGAUGAGUAUUCUAUUCUCGAAACAUUUGUCUUCCUCAGGUUUCUGCUAUUAGUGGUGUUAUUUUUCUUUGAAAGGGACUCUUUUCCUAGAUUUUUAUUUUGCGGUUGAAAACGCUUGUGAGUUUUACCAUACGAGGCUGUUCUUUUGUCCUCUAAAAAGUCAUAAAUUUCACUGAUUUCUGAUUUCCAGUAAUUUCUUUCCUUUAAUUUCCUUAAGGAAUAUGGCAGCAUCCAUAAUAUAAACAAGCGAGUAUGGAAAUCAUCAACAUUUGCUUUUGACAUGAGUUUCCUUAUAAAUUGAACUUUGUCCAAUUGAUUUCUAAAACCUUCAAAUGUUUUAGUUAAACGAUCACCUUUGUUGGAUCCUUGUACUUUCCCUGUUUGUCUGAGUAAUUCUUGCCAUGUAAGACUUCCAUUCUCAGAAAACAUGCGUUCAGCGAAUUGUUGCUCUAAUUCUUCUAGGUGAUUCAAUGUAUACUGUCUUUUAGUAUGCUCAUUUGGGAAUAAUGAAGGGUAUUCAGUAAAGUGUUGAUCAAGUUUUGAAAUGUAACUUUCAACAUCCUUAUUUGGAUCGAAUUUCCCUAUCUCUGGUACAUGCUUCGAUAAUAUUUUUGCAAAAAGGUUUAUUAAAUGUUCGUCUGAUGUUUGAAUUCCAUCCAAAUUCUCUGGUCUCCAUCGUUUUGCUCUUGCUUUCAUAUAACGAUAAUUUGCGUAGGACAUUGUAUAUGUUUCCCUUUGGGAGAUUUCAAAAGGGAUAACAGUCCUUCCAAAGUUCCUUCUCCUUUGAACCCAGAAGGAGAGAAAUAUAUAUAUUUAUGAUAUAUAUUUAUUCAAUAAUUCCUUUUUCCUAAAAGGAGUUAAUUGUAGAUCACAAGAGUUCAGUUAUUGUAAGCUACGCAGUUUGGUAUCUGAUUUAAGGAUACGUAGAACUGCGGUGAGUUUUCCUUGUGAUCUAUUAUAUUACGAUACACAGGUUGUAUAAGUAGCAACUGAGUAUAGGUAUUGUAUUAACUGGGUUAUAAUGUUACCUAUCACUAAUAUAGCUCA
rnacentral:lncRNA from 1 species